ACAACUUGAGUUAUCAUGAUGAUAAAAAACUAGAGAGAAAAAGAAACUCAAUGCAAAAAUCCUCACAUUUUUUGGAUCAUUUUUGGAUUUGUUAUGAUUUUUCUAAAGAUGCAAAUGAAAUUGAAAUAAAAAUUGAAACAAGUAAAUGAAAUAAUGGAAUUAUUGGAAUUAAUUUGAAUAAUGGUUUUGGCGCCUAAUCAAAAC
rnacentral:lncRNA from 1 species